rnacentral:rRNA from 1 species
AUACGGAGGAUGCGAGCGUUAUCCGGAUUUAUUGGGUUUAAAGGGAGCGUAGGUGGGAUAUUAAGUCAGCUGUGAAAGUUUGGGGCUCAACCUUAAAAUUGCAGUUGAUACUGGUUUCCUUGAGUACGGUACAGGUGGGCGGAAUUCGUGGUGUAGCGGUGCAAUGCUUAGAUAUCACGAAGAACUCCGAUCGCGAAGGCAGCUCACCGGGCCGGAACUGACACUGAUGCUCGAAAGUGCGGGUAUCAAACAGGAUUAGAUACCCUGGUAGUCCGCACAGUAAACGAUGAAUACUCGCUGUUUGCGAUACACUGUAAGCGGCCAAGCGAAAGCGUUAAGUAUUCCACCUGGGGAGUACGCCGGCAACGGUGAAACUCAAAGGAAUUGGCGGGG